CCAGGAGGGAGUUAAAGACUGAGUUACUUGUCGUCUUGGAUACAUUGAGUAUACCGUUAUUUACUGAAGAGGUUAAAAUUAGCCGAAUUUAUGGGCGGCUUGUGGUGUCUCUUUAUGCAGCGGGGCCGGGAUGGCGAGUCAAUUCUUCAGGAUGACAUCAGUUUCAAGAGAUUAAUUCCCAAUGCGUACGAAGAAACAGAUGGGCGUUCCGAUGGCUUUCUUGCUUCAAUGCAUAAAGCGGCGGUAUUUUAAAGAGGGCUAUAGACGACACAGUUGCCAGUGAAACUCUUAGCAACUUAUGAAAGAUGCUUUGUGGUCUUCACACCGGAUGCGUGACGAAUCUUCAAGGGCCAGUUGCCUUUUUUAACUGCUCACGUGGGCAUAACCUAUUUGAAAGCCAGUGCCAUUUUAUGCUGGCAGACACAGCUUCUUAGCCUGUGUUCUGUGCCUGUACGCCUAAAUUUAGAGGUCUGCACCGGAGGCAGGGACCGGUCGUUCCUUCCUGGCAUUUUCUUCCUUAGCUUUUUCAGUGGACGUGAUGUUGACGGCGCAGUGUAUUAAAAUGCGAGUAGGGAC